GGCGCGCCAUGAACGAGGCGACGUCGCCGGGCGGACAGGGCCCGGUCUCCGGGGCCGCCUGAGGUUGCCGACAACGGCGGGCAAUGAGGGCGGGUGGAUAAGCCGGGCCUAUACCACUUCAAUUCUAACCUU
rnacentral:snoRNA from 14 species